rnacentral:misc_RNA from 1 species
AUCUUUGAGGGCGUUAAUAUUUAGGUUGUGAUCUUGAUCAGCUUCAUCUUCAACCCUUAUGUUAUGUUGUAAGGCGCAAUUCACAUGAACACCAUAUCCACAAUCUGAACAAUAAUAACCCCCAUGGUCUAUGUCCACUUGGGCAUGACAAAUUCCACAUAUUUGGGCCAAUUCAUUACUUUCUUGAAGGAAAUAGAAGUGGGUAAUUACAUGUGCAUGCUCUGUUAUUCUGAUAGUUUUUGGCAGAUCAAUGCAUUUUUUAUGAACCAUAACUUGACACACAGU